AAUAGAUACCCAGGUAGUCCACGCCGUAAACGAUGUCGACUUGGAGGUUGUUCCCUUGAGGAGUGGCUUCCGGAGCUAACGCGUUAAGUCGACCGCCUGGGGAGUACGGCCGCAAGGUUAAAACUCAAAUGAAUUGACGGGGGCCCGCACAAGCGGUGGAGCAUGUGGUUUAAUUCGAUGCAACGCGAAGAACCUUACCUACUCUUGACAUCCACGGAACUUAGCAGAGAUGCUUUGGUGCCUUCGGGAACCGUGAGACAGGUGCUGCAUGGCUGUCGUCAGCUCGUGUUGUGAAAUGUUGGGUUAAGUCCCGCAACGAGCGCAACCCUUAUCCUUUGUUGCCAGCGGUUCCGGCCGGGAACUCAAAGGAGACUGCCAGUGAUAAACUGGAGGAAGGUGGGGAUGACGUCAAGUCAUCAUGGCCCUUACGAGUAGGGCUACACACGUGCUACAAUGGCGCAUACAAAGAGAAGCGACCUCGCGAGAGCAAGCGGACCUCAUAAAGUGCGUCGUAGUCCGGAUUGGAGU
rnacentral:rRNA from 1 species